AUACGUAGGUGGCAAGCGUUGUCCGGAAUUAUUGGGCGUAAAGCGCAUGUAGGCGGUAAUUUAAGUCUGUCGUGAAACUGCGGGGCUCAGCCCCGUAUGGCGAUGGAAACUGGGUUACUUGAGUGCAGGAGAGGAAAGGGGAACUCCCAGUGUAGCGGUGAAAUGCGUAGAUAUUGGGAAGAACACCGGUGGCGAAGGCGCCUUUCUGGACUGUGUCUGACGCUGAGAUGCGAAAGCCAGGGUAGCGAACGGGAUUAUAUACCCCGGUAGUCCUGGCCGUAAACGAUGGGUACUAGGUGUGGGAGGUAUCGACCCCUUCCGUGCCGGAGUUAACGCAAUAAGUACCCCGCCUGGGGAGUACGGCCGCAAGGCUUAAACUCAAAGGAAUUGACGGGG
rnacentral:rRNA from 1 species